rnacentral:rRNA from 1 species
AAUGAACGCUGGCGGCAGGCCUAAUACAUGCAAGUCGAACGGGUGGAGGACGGGUGAGUAAUGUCUGGGCACCUGGCUGACCGAGGGGGAUAACUAGUGUAAACGGUAGCUAAUACCGCAUACCAUCCGUUCUGCUCCUAGUGGAUUAGCUAGGUGGUGGGGUAACGGCGCACCAAGGCGACGAUGCCUAGCUGGUCUGAGAGGAUGACCAGCCACACUGGAACUGAGACACGGCCCAGACUCCUACGGGAGGCAGCAGUGGGGAAUAUUGCACAAUGGGCGCAAGCCUGAUGGAGCCAUGCCGCGUGUAUGAAGAAGGCCUUCGGGUUGUAAAGUACUUUCAGCGGGGAGGCGGUACCCGCAGAAGAAGCAACGGCUAACUCCGUGCCAGCAGCCGCGGUAAUUC